rnacentral:rRNA from 1 species
AUUGAACGCUGGCGGCAUGCCUUACACAUGCAAGUCGAACGGCAGCGGACCUUCGGGUGCCGGCGAGUGGCGAACGGGUGAGUAAUGCAUCGGAACGUACCUUUCAGUGGGGGAUAACGUAGCGAAAGUUACGCUAAUACCGCAUAUUCUAUGAGCAGGAAAGCAGGGGAUCGCAAGACCUUGCGCUGAUUGAGCGGCCGAUGUCAGAUUAGCUAGUUGGUGAGGUAAAGGCUCACCAAGGCGACGAUCUGUAGCGGGUCUGAGAGGAUGAUCCGCCACACGGGAACUGAGACGCGGUCCAGACUCCUACGGGAGGCAGCAGUGGGGAAUUUUGGACAAUGGGGGCAACCCUGAUCCAGCCAUGCCGCGUGAGUGAAGAAGGCCUUCGGGUUGUAAAGCUCUUUCGGCCGGGAAGAAAUCGCACGGGCUAAUACCCUGUGUGGAUGACGGUACCGGAAUAAGAAGCACCGGCUAACUACGUGCCAGCAGCCGCCGUAAUAC